rnacentral:rRNA from 1 species
UCAGAGUGUUUCAAGCAGGCAGUCGCUCUUGCAUGGAUUAGCAUGGGAUAAUGAAAUAGGACUCUGGUGCUAUUUUGUUGGUUUCGAGCACCGGAGUAAUGAUGAACAGGGACAGUCAGGGGCACUCGUAUUCCGCCGAGAGAGGUGAAAUUCUCAGACCAGCGGAAGACGAACGACUGCGAAAGCAUUUGCCAGGGAUGUUUUCACUGAUCAAGAACGAAAGUUAGGGGAUCGAAGACGAUCAGAUACCGUCGUAGUCUUAACCAUAAACCAUGCCGACUAGGGAUUGGAGGAUGUUCCGUUUGUGACUCCUUCAGCACCUUUCGGGAAACUAAAGUCUUUGGGUUCCGGGGGGAGUAUGGUCGCAAGGCUGAAACUUAAAGGAAUUGACGGAAGGGCACCACCAGGAGUGGAGCCUGCGGCUUAAUUUGACUCAACACGGGGAAACUUACCAGGUCCAGACAUUGUGAGGAUUGACAGAUUGAGAGCUCUUUCUUGAUUCGAUGGGUGGUGGUGCAUGGCCGUUCUUAGUUGGUGGAGUGAUUUGUCUGGUUAAUUCCGUUAACGAACGAGACCGCAGCCUGCUAAAUAGUGUCCCCAACCCCUUGUUGGGGCUCGCUUCUUAGAGGGACAACUUGUCUUCAACAAGUGGAAGUUCGCGGCAAUAACAGGUCUGUGAUGCCCUUAGAUGUUSUGGGCCGCACGCGCGCUACASUGAUGCAUUCAGCGAGUCGUCUCCCUUGACCGAGAGGUCCGGGUAAUCUUGUGAACUUGCAUCGUGAUGGGGAUAGAUUAUUGCAACUAUUAAUYUUCAACGAGGAAUUCCUAGUAAGCGUGUGUCAUCAGCGCACGUUGAUUACGUCCCUGCCCUUUGUACACACCGCCCGUCGCUCCUACCGAUUGAAUGAUCCGGUGAGGCCCCCGGASUGCGGCGCCSCCGCYGGUUCUCCAGYSCUGGCGUCGCGGGAAGCUGUCCGAAC